AGCAGUAGCCGCGGUAAUACGUAGGGUGCAAGCGUUAAUCGGAAUUACUGGGCGUAAAGCGUGCGCAGGCGGUUAUAUAAGACAGAUGUGAAAUCCCCGGGCUCAACCUGGGAACUGCAUUUGUGACUGUAUAGCUAGAGUACGGCAGAGGGGGAUGGAAUUCCGCGUGUAGCAGUGAAAUGCGUAGAUAUGCGGAGGAACACCGAUGGCGAAGGCAAUCCCCUGGGCCUGUACUGACGCUCAUGCACGAAAGCGUGGGGAGCAAACAGGAUUAGAUACCCCCGUAGUCACUGUCUCUUAUAA
rnacentral:rRNA from 1 species